UGGGGAAUAUUGCACAAUGGGCGCAAGCCUGAUGCAGCCAUGCCGCGUGUGUGAAGAAGGCCUUCGGGUUGUAAAGCACUUUCAGCGAGGAGGAAGGUGGUGAGCUUAAUACGCUCAUCAAUUGACGUUACUCGCAGAAGAAGCACCGGCUAACUCCGUGCCAGCAGCCGCGGUAAUACGGAGGGUGCAAGCGUUAAUCGGAAUUACUGGGCGUAAAGCGCACGCAGGCGGUUUGUUAAGUCAGAUGUGAAAUCCCCGGGCUCAACCUGGGAACUGCAUUUGAAACUGGCAAGCUAGAGUCUCGUAGAGGGGGGUAGAAUUCCAGGUGUAGCGGUGAAAUGCGUAGAGAUCUGGAGGAAUACCGGUGGCGAAGGCGGCCCCCCUGGACGAAGACUGACGCUCAGGUGCGAAAGCGUGGGGCAGCAAACAGGAUUAGAUACCCUGGUAGU
rnacentral:rRNA from 1 species